CAGUCGCCGCGGUAAUACGUAGGUGGCAAGCGUUGCCCGGAAUUAUUGGGCGUAAAGCGCGCGCAGGUGGAUCAGUUAGUCUGUCUUAAAAGUUCGGGGCUUAACCCCGUGAGGGGAUGGAAACUGCUGAUCUAGAGUAUCGGAGAGGAAGGUGGAAUUCCUAGUGUAGCGGUGAAAUGCGUAGAUAUUAGGGAGAACACCAGUGGCGAAGGCGACUUUCUGGACGAAAACUGACGCUGAGGCGCGAAAGCCAGGGGAGCGAACGGGAUUAGAUACCCCCGUAGUCCCUGUCUCUUAUACA
rnacentral:rRNA from 1 species